GUGAAGCCUGAACUCGAGUAGGGCCCAAGCAAGCCAGGAAGGAGGAGGCAGCCAGAGUGUUCUCUGCAGCAGAAGACCCCUUGCUGACCUGCUUAACCCAGACCAGCAUUUGCCAGAUACCUCUCACUGCCGCCCCCAGCACCGCCCUCACUGGCCGCCUCUGGAAACGAACUCCCCAUCAGUGGUGCUUCAACAGAAGGAAAGACUGAGGGAAGUUUAUGCAGCUAUUCUCCUGAUGGAUAUUCUCCAAGACUGGAAGCCUCGGGCUUAAUACUGGCCUCACAUACAUCUGGCUAAUGAAGAAGCAAUGGAUGGGGUCAGCCCUUCCCCUUUCCCUGGGUGACAGUAUUAUUAUUAUUAUUAUUAUUAUUAUUUUACAUUUAUAUCCCGCUCUUCCUCCAAGGAGCCCAGAGUGGUGUACUACAUACUUGAGUUUCUCUUUCACAACAACCCUGUGAAGUAGGUUAGGCUGAGAAAGAAGUGACUGGCCCAGAGUCACCCAGCUAGUUUUAUGGCUGAAUGGGGAUUUGAACUCGGGUCUCCCCGGUCCUAGUCCAGCACUCUAACCACUACACCACGCUGGCUCUCAGUCAUUAACAGUAACUCUUCUGGGAUUUCCCUUCACUAUCCACUGAGCUGUGGCUGUGACAAAAAUCAUGACGUACGACUGGUUCCUGUUAAAAUGGGAGUACCACCACUACCAACACUUUCACGCACAUGCACUGAGAGCUGUCACAAAGCUAUAUCAUGUAGAUAGUUAAUGUCCAGUAGCUUCUCCAUCCUCCUUCCUCAAUGUGUGCCUCUUUGGCUGGCCAUGACACAACUACACUUUGCCACAAGUACACCACCACCCCAUCUCUCCUUCUGAUGAGGUUGAGUCCAAUAGAGCAGUAUCAUGUCGUCAUAAUGUUUACAAAAUCAUGUGAUCAUAAUGUUUACAAAAAUGUAAAAUAAAUACUGAAAAUGUUGUCCCACUCAUCCUCUUUUUCUUCAUCUUCCUCCAGCACAUGAAACUGAAGCACAUUGUUGAAGUGGAGGUUCCGGAGAAGCUCCUCACAGUAAAAUGGGUUUCCGUGGCUUCUUUGUAUUAAGAAUCUAGAAGUGGGGAGAGAGAGAGAAACAGUUCCUGGAAUAAAAGGCAUAAUCCAUUUACUGUACAGAACCUUCCCUUUUCUAGCAUCAGCACACAUGCAAUUGAUCCACAGCCAAUGCCAGGAAUGUCAAAUGUCAAAAUAUCCAAUGUCAAAAUAGGCCAGCUAGUACUCUCUGGUCCCUAUAAAAGCUUCUGGGUCAAUUUGACUUGCUAGUCCAAGCAACAAGGAGAUUCUGCUAUCUAUAAGGGGUGUGCGUUCAGUGGGGCCUGAAUGUUAAUUAUAUAUGCAUUCAAAAUUUUAAAAAUGUGCAAUCAAUGGGCUCAUUUUUGGAAUGCCAUUCAUACCCAUUCAUUAAUCCUUUGGCAUUCAGGGAGUUGCUUACCUUGUCUGGUGGACAGCAGAAGCCCUUUGCGAAGCCACCUCCUGCUAGCUUCCAUUUCCCCACAAUACCCUAGGUGCAGCAUCAAUCUGGGCAUGGGGGCAGAGAAUGGCAGCCACCAGGAGGUACCUGUUCAGAGGACCUCAACUGCCCACCAUGGCCAUAGGUAAUGGCAAGAAGUCACAUAAAUGAUUGAAAGGAAGAAGGAAAAAAUCUAACAAAAUAAAUGUGAAUAAUGAAAUGAAAAAAGUGUAUGAAUAUCAACAUGAAAAACAAAUGAAUGAAUGAAUACCAAAUGAACCAACCGCUUAAUAACAAAAAUGAAUGGUGUAACAAAAUGGGUGUUGGGGGUGGGGGGCGUUGUGCAUAUUCCUAUCCUACUGUUGCUGCUCCUUUCUGGCUAUGGAUUGUCUCUGCCUUCAGCUUCACAGAAUGGUGCCAAAAGAUCCAAUGUGCAGACACUUCCUACUUACAUCUCAAGCUCCCUGGCGAUACUGACCACCCCAAGGUCUUGGCAAGCUUUCUGAACAAUCACUGAAGGAGGUAACUCCCUUAAAUGGAUAUAGACAGUGUUAUGAUGGUUUCUUAUUCGGGCUGCAGCAGGACAAGGCAGUCGCGCCUUGCGGUUGUCAGGACACAAAGACAUGACGACAAAUAUGGGAACAGUCCUUAUCAUCUUUUCCAAGAAUUGCCAGGAGACUGUAUCAAUGUACUGAGAUUCAUCAAUUACAAAAAUGACAACUUCUUUAUCCCCUAUCUAAAAAUAAUAAAUAUGUAAAUAAAUAAAUAAAUAAACCAACAACAACAAUAGCAGCAAAAUCUCAGAAUAAGGUUAUCCUUCUGCAGGACUUCUUUUCUUUUUUUGCAAGAACCACUUCACAGGGACCACUUCUGUGAAUACUUGCUGCCACCAGAGAUGGCUGCUCUGCAGUUGUCCCUACAGAGAGGGAGAGGCUUCCCCAGUUGCUGCCUCCCUUUCUCUCCUUGCUUCUACAUCCUCCAUCCUCCUUCCUCAACUUGUGCCUCUUUGAAGGGCUCGCCAUGACACAACUACACUUUGCCACAAGUGCACCACCACCCCAGCCAUCUCUCCUUCUGAUGCGGUUGAGUCCAAUAGAGCAGUAUCAUGUUGUCAUAAUGUUUACAAAAUCAUGUGAUCAUAAUGUUUACAGAAAUGUAAAAUAAAUGAUUGGUUGAGCGACA